GCUAAAUUUGUUUUAAAAUUCAUCAUUUUAGUGAAAUGGUGUGGAACACAAUGUGUUCUUUUCUGCUGGUCCUGGUUGUUGCAAGGAGACAUCGGGCAUUGUAAUGAAUGGAUGACGAUGUGUUGCUGGCAAACCUACACCAUCUGCAUUUUCUUGGUGGAUAUCUUGGGCAAAUGUGCAAUAUGAUGAGGGAUAUCUUGGGCAAAUAUCUUGUAUAAAUUGGCACGAUUACUUACCUUAAAUUACUAAAGAAGGAUAUUGUAAGGUUAGUGGAUAUUUAUAACAGUGAUAAAAUGGGGGUUCCCUGUGAAUAGGAACGAAGUAAGGCUGCCCAAUUAAGUGGAAACAAUAUUGCGGAGUGUAACAAUCUAAAAAUAUGGCGGACUGAAA